rnacentral:rRNA from 1 species
GACGAACGCUGGCGGCUUUCUUAACACAUGCAAGUCGAACGGAAAGGCCCUGCUUUUGUGGGGUGCUCGAGUGGCGAACGGGUGAGUAACACGUGAGUAACCUGCCCUUGACUUUGGGAUAACUUCAGGAAACUGGGGCUAAUACCGGAUAGGAGCUCCUGCUGCAUGGUGGGGGUUGGAAAGUUUCGGCGGUUGGGGAUGGACUCGCGGCUUAUCAGCUUGUUGGUGGGGUAGUGGCUUACCAAGGCUUUGACGGGUAGCCGGCCUGAGAGGGUGACCGGCCACAUUGGGACUGAGAUACGGCCCAGACUCCUACGGGAGGCAGCAGUGGGGAAUAUUGCACAAUGGGCGGAAGCCUGAUGCAGCAACGCCGCGUGCGGGAUGACGGCCUUCGGGUUGUAAACCGCUUUCGCCUGUGACGAAGCGUGAGUGACGGUAAUGGGUAAAGAAGCACAGGCUAACUACGUG